AGGAAGUGCAGGAACUGAAAGAAGUGCAGAUUAUUGGCUCUUGGUCCUCCGGUGAUCAUAACCAGGCAACUGCCUGCAUAAAGAGAGAGAUUGUGUCAGUCCAACUGGUUGGGGUUAUUGUCCUGCUGGAAGGUGAAUCCAUCUCCCAGUGUCUGGUGGAAAGCAGACUGAACCAGGUGCCCUUCUUUGUGAGGCAUUGGAAGACCUCCCAGGUCUUUGUAGUUGAAUCUGUGUUUGAAAUUCACUGCUUGACUGAGGGACCUUACAGAUAAUUGUAUGUGUUGGGUACAGAGGUGGUCAUUCAAACAUCAUGUUAAACACUAUUAUGGCACACAGACUGUGUCCAUGCUACUUAUUAGUUGACCUGUUAAGCACAUUUUUACUCCUGCAAUGAUUUAGGCUUGCCAUAACAAAAGGGGUUAAAUACUUAUUGACUCAAGACAUUUCAGCUUUCCAUUUUUGUCUAAAAACAUAAUUCCACAUUGACAUUAUGUGGUAUUGUGUUUAGGCCAGUGACAACAAAUCUCAAUUUAAUCCAUUUUAAAUUCAGGCUGUAACACAACAAAAUGUGGAAAAAGUCUAGGGGUGUUUAUACUUUCUGAAGAAAGUGUAUAUGUCUACCCUGAAAGAAAGGCUGUGCUGAAGUACAAGUACAUUGUUUCA